rnacentral:rRNA from 1 species
AGUGAACGCUGGCGGCAGGCCUAAUACAUGCAAGUCGAACGGCAGCACAGCAGAGCUUGCUCUGUGGGUGGCGAGUGGCGGACGGGUGAGGAAUACAUGGGAAUCUGCCCAGUCGUGGGGAUAACGUAGGGAAACUUACGCUAAUACCGCAUGCGCCCUUCGGGGAAAGCCGGGGACCUUCGGGCCUGGCGCGAUUGGAUGAGCCCAUGUCGGAUUAGCUAGUUGGCGGGGUAAUGGCCCACCAAGGCGACGAUCCGUAGCUGGUCUGAGAGGAUGAUCAGCCACACUGGAACUGAGACACGGUCCAGACUCCUACGGGAGGCAGCAGUAGGGAAUAUUGGACAAUGGGCGCAAGCCUGAUCCAGCCAUGCCGCGUGAGUGAAGAAGGCCCUCGGGUUGUAAAGCUCUUUUGUCCGGAAAGAAAAGACGCCGGGUUAAUACCCUGGUGUCCUGACGGUACCGGAAGAAUAAGCACCGGCUAACUUCGUGCCAGCAGCCGCGGUAAUC